rnacentral:ncRNA from 1 species
AGUCAAGUAAUUAAGUGCAUGUGGUGGAUGCCUUGGCAGUCAGAGGCGAAGAAAGACGUGAUAGCCUGCGAAAAGCUCCGGGGAGGCGGCAAAUAUCCUGUGAUCCGGAGAUAUCUGAAUGGGGGAACCCACUUACCAUAAGGUAGGUAUUGCAACAUGAAUACAUAGUGUUGCAAGGCGAACGAGGGGAAGUGAAACAUCUCAGUACCCUUAGGAAAAGAAAUCAAUUGAGAUUCCCUUAGUAGCGGCGAGCGAACGGGGAUUAGCCCAUUAAGUUAUGUGUGUUUUAGUGGAACGCUCUGGGAAGUGCGAACGUAGAGGGUGAUAUUCCCGUACACGAAAGGGCACACAUAAUGAUGACGAGUAGGGCGAGGCACGUGAAACCUUGUCUGAAUAUGGGGGGACCAUCCUCCAAGGCUAAAUACUCCUGACUGACCGAUAGUGAACCAGUACCGUGAGGGAAAGGCGAAAAGAACCCCUGUGAGGGGAGUGAAAUAGAUCCUGAAACCGCAUGCAUACAAGCAGUGGGAGCCGACAUGUUCGGUGACUGCGUACCUUUUGUAUAAUGGGUCAGCGACUUAUAUUCAGUAGCGAGGUUAACCGAAUAGGGGAGCCGUAGAGAAAUCGAGUCUUAAUAGGGCGUUUAGUUGCUGGGUAUAGACCCGAAACCAGGCGAUCUAUCCAUGAGCAGGUUGAAGGUUGGGUAACACUAACUGGAGGACCGAACCCACUGUCGUUGAAAAGCCAGGGGAUGACUUGUGGAUAGGGGUGAAAGGCUAAUCAAGCUCGGUGAUAGCUGGUUCUCCCCGAAAGCUAUUUAGGUAGCGCCUCGGACGAAUACCAUUGGGGGUAGAGCACUGUUUCGGCUAGGGGGUCAUCCCGACUUACCAAACCGAUGCAAACUCCGAAUACCAAUGAGUACUAUCCGGGAGACAGACUGCGGGUGCUAACGUCCGUAGUCAAGAGGAAAACAAUCCAGACCGCCAGCUAAGGCCCCAAAAUUAUAGUUAAGUGGGAAACGAUGUGGGAAGGCAUAGACAGCUAGGAGGUUGGCUUAGAAGCAGCCACCCUUUAAAGAAAGCGUAAUAGCUCACUAGUCGAGUCGGCCUGCGCGGAAGAUGUAACGGGGCUAAAACUAUGUGCCGAAGCUGCGGAUGUAACUUUUAAGUUACGUGGUAGGGGAGCGUUCUGUAAGCCGAUGAAGGUGGAUUGAGAAGUCUGCUGGAGGUAUCAGAAGUGCGAAUGCUGACGUGAGUAACGACAA